UUUAGUGCCAUCUCUUGAGU
rnacentral:piRNA from 1 species